GGGGGUGAGUUGGCACGACUACCUUAAAAGCCAAAGCGCCAUAGGUAGAACGACAGUUCGAAUCUGUCCACCUCCACCA
rnacentral:tRNA from 1 species